GACGAACGCUGGCGGCGUGCCUAAUACAUGCAAGUCUAACGAAGCUUUUUUAACUGGUGCUUGCACCGACUUAAACAACUGAGUGGCGAACGGGUGAAUAACACGUGGGUAACCUGCCCCAAAGCGGGGGAUAACAUUUGGAAACAGAUGCUAAUACCGCAUAACCACAGAAACCACAUGGUUUCUGUGUCAAAGAUGGUUUCGGCUAUCACUUUGGGAUGGACCCGCGGCGUAUUAGCUAGUUGGUAAGGUAAUGGCUUACCAAGGCAAUGAUACGUAGCCGAACUGAGAGGUUGAUCGGCCACAUUGGGACUGAGACACGGCCCAAACUCCUACGGGAGGCAGCAGUAGGGAAUCUUCCACAAUGGACGAAAGUCUGAUGGAGCAACGCCGCGUGAGUGAAGAAGGUUUUCGGAUCGUAAAACUCUGUUGUCAGAGAAGAACGUGUGCGAGAGUAACUGUUCGUGCAGUGACGGUAUCUGGCCAGAAAGCCACGGCUAACUACGUGCCAGCCGCCGCCGUAA
rnacentral:rRNA from 1 species